CCUAUGGAAUGACCUCAAGCUUUUGUGCUGUUCUAACAUAGAGUACACGAACGGUCGAGAUCCGAGAUAAUGAGACUUACAUUGUGGUUUCUUUUAGGAGGGUUGUGUGUUUUUGUGCUCUUUCAUGCAUCCUAUUGCCGUAUCAUAAUUGAAAUAGAUCAACGGUCUAGGUCGCAAGGGCAACAAUUAUAUUGUCGAGAUCAGUGCCGAAUCAAUGGUCGCGAGGUCACCAAUAUUUUGGGUAAGCCAAGACCCACUCUGCCACCACCUGUGGGAGUCAAACCAAGAAAUCCAUGAACAUUACUGAUUAAUUUGCAAGAGAGAUGUAGCCUCUAUAUACAACUUAAUUUGCGACGAUUUUUUUUUGCCGCAGUCUUUUUAAUUUCUUGUAGAUGUGAUAUGCAUGCAGAUGAAGUUUGCUUCUUUUAUGGGUCUAUCUACUUCGUUGAUUUUGCUUUGUAACGUCGUGAUUGUUAUAGAUAAAAUCAAAUCAAUGAUUUGAUUUGAUUAUUAUUAUCAUAAUAAUUAUAUUUAUCAUUUUAAGAAA